UGAGCCCGAACAUGGCAGAAGGGGCACAGGGAGCUUUCUUUUAUAAGGGCACUAAUGCUGUCCAUGAGGGCUCUGCCUUCAUGACCUAAACACCUCCCAUAGGCUGCACCUAUUAAUAUACCAUCACAUGGGGCAUUAGGAUUUAACACAUGAAUUUUGUAAGGUCACAGACAUUCAAUCUACAAUAUAAGGGUUUAAGGAAAAAGAGCACCCUUAACAUCACUAGGUUCUCCCAUGGUGGCACUCUGCUCCAGCCAGGCCAAGAGCCCUGCACUCUUUCAGAUGGUUCUCCAGAGGAAUGUCCCUCUGGGAUGCUUGGGUUCUCUCUGUAUGUGCGGAGCCUGCACACCUUUACCCACUGAUCUUUGAAACCUGGUCUGCACAUUCGACACCAGGCAGCUGUGAGAGUUUUGACAAUCCAUUACCCCUCUCUCCUCUCCACCCCACAAUCUUCACAUUCUCAUCCAGUCCACAUGUCCCUAUGCUAAUUGCCCUUUCCAAAGUUAACAUUUCCAAAUGGCAAGAUAAGUUCAGAGUCAUUUAAAAGAAAAAUACACGCACUUGAGACAGAACCGUGAAAAUGUUAGGCUUCUUUCUUUCUUUUUUUUUUUUAAAUCUCAUCCUUACCCUCUCUGCAGAAGUAGUGAGCUCAAGUGGCCUCUUGCUUCUUGUUUUUCCCAGGGAAACCAAUUUCGGUUCAGUUCCCACUGUUUCAUAACACAAGAGCUCAACUUACACACUUCCAAACAGAGGGAUGGGUGCUCAGUUUUGUUUUCUUCUUCCCUCAAGAAAAAGCCUCAAUCUCAGUUUCAGGCUUAAACAGACUUAACAGCCAUAAGUCCCAUAAGCCCUGACCUGCCAUAAAUAGUCUUUUUCAUCAGAAACUGCAAAUCACCAUUCCACUGUAUAAACCAGAGCUACUCGGAGAGC
rnacentral:lncRNA from 1 species